rnacentral:lncRNA from 7 species
AGCAUUUCCAUGGAAAGGCUCACAGGAAUGUCAUACAGAGGAAGAAGUCCAAGCUCCUAAAGGACCAAUAAGAGCUCCAGCAGGCACAACUGGUUCUUCCAAGCACCAGGAGAUGAGGACUGGGACCGACCUUGUUGGAAAUGAGCCUACUGAUGCCUACAGCUGGAAGCAGUUGCAUGGGACUUUGCAGUAGGUAACAUGGGGAUACAUGUCCCAGAACACAUUGCCCAUGCCAGGGGUGACGAACACUCUCACAGGGGAGCAGGAGACGUGCACUGAGCAAGCUGAGGAUAACUCCUACUGGGAUACACCGAUCCUGACGUGCUUCAGCAUCUGGAAGAUCCUAAGAGGAAUGACACAGAGUGAUGGGAAGCACAGGCACGAUCCUGAACAUCUCCAUACCUUCUGUGGGGCAUAAGCCCAGGAGAGAGCUGGGGAAGGUCUAAAGAGGUUUCUAUUCUCUGUGUAUGUUUAUGGUGGGCAGACUCUGAAAAGGGUGGACUUUGCUUGCUUUCAGCAUCAGAGGUGCUAAUCCCAUGUGCCGGCAGCCCGAGUGUGUGUGUGGCCGGUGUGUUCCCAGCCCUCCACGAAGCCCUGAAAUCAAUGGGCAAAGGGUUAACUGAGCUCCCGAGGCAGGUGGGAGCACAGGUCAGGCUGAGUGAUAUCGCAGACAUGUUAUUUGAAAAGCUAAGAAAUUGUGGAAUUCCUCACCUAAUCCAACUUCCACACAGUUUAAAGAAAACUGCAGUGCAAGAUAUGUCUACGUCUGAAGGAGACCCCCCCCCCCUUCCCCACGAGCCUUCCCCUGUGUGCUUUAUAUGUGCAUAUAUGGAGCUCAUGCUGCAAGCCACCCCAUGUCCUGCUGGGCUUCCAGCCACUGGGAUCUGUCUUCUGGAAAAGCCCAUGAGAUGCAGCAGCACCGUGGGGAGCCAGGUCCUCUGCUCCAGCUCAGCAGCCCAAGGAGCUGAGCAGCUGUAUUGCUUUUGUAUUUAAUCAAAGCUGGGUUUAGCUGGAAAAAAAAAAAAAAAAGAAAAAAAAGAAGAUGUGGGGUGUGAGGCUUUAAUCUGGAAAGUUUUACAAAUGGAAAAAGGCAAUGACUAAGAAGACUUCCAGAAAAGUUUAGGCUUUCUUUUUUUUUUUUCUUCUCCCCCACAACAUUUCCUAUCGGUUCUUCAUAAAAAACAUUUUACAGGGUUCUGUUGGAAAAAGUGUUGCUUGCAAAAGGCAGGUGUUGGCAAAGGUGCCGGUCCUCUGCCUGGCAACUGUUGGCCCUCUCCUGACCAUGGUGGCCCUUUUCCAACCUGAACCAUCCCGGCAGCACUGUGGGCUGCAAGAAAAUUAAUGUGUUCUCUCGGGGAGUGGACAGGCAGCCUGAUUGCUGAGGCUUGCUGGAGUGAUGGUGGGACCAUGGUGUGCUCCUGCAUUGGCUCCUGGAAGGCUCUGUGAUGUCUUCAGCUUCUUGGAAUGCAAUCAGUAGCUCAGUGAUACUUUCUGGUUAGAGAAAUGUGCACAAUAAAGGGUGAGAAAG